GCAGCCGCCUUCCCACCGUCAUCCCACGAGGCCUCUCUUCCUCGGAAGGAAGAAAGGCAGGCGCCUGCCGACAUUACGGACUACUACUCUGGGGAAAUAAUAAUAAUAAAUGUCCUAUAAAACCGCCUGCUCGCUCAACCCACACCCCCAUCACCUCACACCGACCUGGACACGGCCAUGGCGACAGAGUCUCGAAUCUGAGGCCCGGCUGAGCAAGGAGAGAGCCACCACGGUUCUGGCAGGAAGGAGGGGGGCAGGGCCCUGGCCAGGGCCUCCGGGAAGCGCGCCGAGGCCCACAGGCGGGAUAGCGACUAGACAAGGCGGCGGCCAGCGGCGGCCCGAGCCCCCCUCCUCCCUUCGGGCGUCUGUACGAGCAGUAGCGACAAAAAAUACUAGCCCCGCAGAUUAAAGCUCCGAUUCCUCCAUCACCAGGGAGAAGCCCGACACCUGGUUUUAUAUGAGCAGCCAUCUUGUAUUUAUUCCCUUCCACCAUGGUAGCCGCUUCCUGAUUGGCAUGGACGCUAGACCGCAGCCAAUAGUAAGCGUCCUUUGAAGAAGAGCACGAGGGAGGGAAUAAACAGGGGCUGAAGAAGAGUCUGCCAUUUAGUUCGCUGAGCCUGUGGGGGAGGCGGCAGGCAGCCAUGUUAUUGGGCAGUACCAUUUACCCAACUGGAUGGGGGGGGUACUCGUCAGUUAUGUCAAUUUCCAAACCGCAGAAUAAGGGGAAAUAAUUUUUAUUUCUCAGACUUGUUAUAUGUACUUAACUUAAAUACACUUAAAACAAAGACGUGAAUGCUUCAAUUCCAAGGAGAAACAGAACCGCCGUUCUCACCUGUGCAAACUCAAGCUAUAGAAUAAACUUCAGUUCGUAGCCGCUGGUGGACUUGCGUGGCUUGAGCCUGGACACCGGAUAUGGACUACAAAUCCCAACGUUCGUUGCAGCAUCAGUGUCUGGAAUGGUCUGUAUUGGCUGUUGUCUCCCAUGCUGCACAGCUCCCACUGUUGGUAUGAAUGCCCCACUAUAGGAGACUGCCUUGUAAAAGACAAAGCAGAG